GACGAACGCUGGCGGCGUGCCUAACACAUGCAAGUCGAGCGGAGAUGAGGUGCUUGCACCUUAUCUUAGCGGCGGACGGGUGUGUAAUGCUCAGGAAUCUGCCUAUUAGUGGGGGACGACAUUCCGAAAGGAAUGCUAAUACCGCAUACGUCCUACGGGAGAAAGCAGGGGAUCUUCGGACCUUGCGCUAAUAGAUGAGGCUAAGUCGGAUUAGCUAGUUGGUGGGGUAAAGGCCUAUCAAGUCGAAGAUCUGUAGCGGGUCUGAGGGGAUGAUCCGCCACACUGGGACUGAGACACGGCCCAGACUGCUACGGGAGGCAGCAGUGGGGAAUAUUGGACAAUGGGGGGAACCCUGAUCCAGCCACGCCGCGUGUGUGAAGAAGGCCUUAUGGUUGUAAAGCACUUUAAGCGAGGAGGAAGAUACUGAGACUAAUACUCUUGGAUAGUGGACGUUACUAGCAGAAUAAGCACCGGCUAACUCUGUGCCAGCCGCCGCAGUAAAAC
rnacentral:rRNA from 1 species